GUGUCAACAGCACCUGAAACAUCACUUAGCACAGGAGCAUCUUCAACAACAUUUUCCUCAUCAAGCAAUACUUCACUAAAUGAACUAACAGUCUUCUUUGAAGACUUGGUCUUCUUUUUCUUGUCCGUGAAAAUAAUAGGUUCAUCUUCUUCAUCCUUGUCUUUCUUCUCAUCAUCAUCCUCAUCCUCAUUUUCAAGCAGAUCAAAUGCAGAACUCCUCAUCCUGCCACCCUUAUUCGACUUCUUUUUCUUGUCCGUGAAAGUAAUAGGUUCAUCAUCUUCAUCUUUGUCUUCCUUGACAUCAUCAUUUUCAUUGACAAGCAGAUCGAAAGUAGAACUGUUCUUGCCACUCUUCUUUGAUUUCUUUUUCUUGUCUGUGAAAAUAACAGGUUCAUCUUCUUCAUCUUUGUCUUCCCUCACAUCCUCAUCUUCAUCAUCAAGAAGAUCAAAAGCAGAGGCCGAAAAUCCAGUAGUACCGCUCUUCUUCUUGCCACCUUUCUUUGACUUCUCCACCACAUCAUCAUCAUCAUCAUCACUCUCCUCCACAGAAUGAUCAUCAUCAAUCACCUCACUUUCACUACCACCAUCAACUGCAUCAAAAGCCGCUGCCGCAAACAGACUACCACUCUUAUUCCAACCUUUC
rnacentral:lncRNA from 1 species